UCUCCAGAUCCACCACGCUGAACACGCCUGAGCUUGUCUGAUCUCAGAAGCUAAGCAGGGUGGGGCCCUGUUAGUACUUGGAUGGGGGUAUUUUUUGCCGACCAAAAGAAAUCCGAAAAU
rnacentral:rRNA from 1 species